CGAACACACGCCUGUUGAAAUAGUCGGUGAUGAUUUGUGGUUAGCGGAGAAAUUCCAAUCGAAUCCGGAUAUAGCUGGUUCUCCUCGAAAUAGCUUUAGGGCUAGCCUGUCGCAAGAAUACCGAAGGUAGAGCACUGUAUGGUCUAGGGGGUUUCACGACCUACCGAAACUUAACAAACUUCGAAUGACGGAUAUUUGAUGCGAUGGAGUCAGACGGCGACAGAUAAGUGCCGUCGUCAAAAGGGAAACAGCCCAGAUCCACAGCUAAGGUCCCAAAGUACAGGUUAAGUGGUAAACGAUGUGUCAUUGCAUAAACAACCAGGAUGUUGGCUUAGAAGCAGCCACACAUUCAAAGAGUGCGUAAUAGCUCACUGGUCGAGUGAUGAUGCGCGGAAGAUUACCGGGGCUAAAACCUGACACCGAAGCUUGGGGAUACGAGUAAUCGUAUCGGUAGAGGAGCAAUGUAUAAAGGCAGAAGUUGAAUCGGAAGAUUCAAUGGACGAAAUACAAGAGAGAAUGCCGGCAUAAGUAGCGAGAGAGAGGCGAGAAACCUCUCCGUCGAGAGUCUGAGGUUUCCUGGGGAAGGUUCGUCCGCCCAGGGUUAGUCGGGGCCUAAGUCGAGGUCGAAAGGCGUAGAUGAUGGACAACCGGUGCAAAUUCCGGUACUACCGAAAUUCGUAUAAAUGAUUGCAGUGACACAGGAAGAUAGUCGGACCGAGCGGAUGGAAAAGCUCGGCCAAGGCGUAACGAGGGCAUAGAGUGAAGUACCUAUGUAGGAAUCGGUGCGCUGAUGGGGACGUGAAGACAAGUAAAUAAGCCGACGAAUCUACACUGGCGAGAAAAGCUGCUAAAUAAGGAUGGAGGUACCCGUACCGCAAACCGACACAGGUAGACGCGAAGAAAAUUCAAAGACGAACGGGAGAACCCUUGUUAAGGAACUCGGCAAAAUGACCCCGUAACUUCGGGAGAAGGGGAGCCAACGCGAGUUGGUCGCAGUGAAGAGGUCCAAGCAACUGUUUACCAAAAACACAGGUCUCUGCGAAAUCGAAAGAUGACGUAUAGGGGCUGACGCCUGCCCAGUGCCGGAAGGUUAAGGGGAGAUGUGCAAGCAUUGAACUUAAGCCCCGGUGAACGGCGGCCGUAACUAUAACGGUCCUAAGGUAGCGAAAUUCCUUGUCGGGUAAGUUCCGACCCGCACGAAAGGCGUAAUGAUUUGGACGCUGUCUCAACAGGGGGCCCGGCGAAAUUGUAGUAUACGUGAAGAUGCGUAUUAACCCGCGACUGGACGGAAAGACCCCGUAGAGCUUUACUGUAACUUGAUAUUGGAACACGACAACGAAUGCACAGGAUAGGUGGGAGGCUGAGAAGUAAGUGCUUUGGCAUUUACGGAGCCGCUGUUGGGAUACCACCCUUUCAUUGUUGGGUUUCUAACGGACAGCCGUGAACCGGUGUACGGACAGUGUCAGGUGGGCAGUUUGACUGGGGCGGUCGCCUCCUAAAGAGUAACGGAGGCGCCCAAAGGU
rnacentral:rRNA from 1 species